rnacentral:rRNA from 1 species
GAUGAACGCUGGCGGCGUGCCUAAUACAUGCAAGUCGAGCGAAUGGAUUAAGAGCUUGCUCUUAUGAAGUUAGCGGCGGACGGGUGAGUAACACGUGGGUAACCUGCCCAUAAGACUGGGAUAACUCCGGGAAACCGGGGCUAAUACCGGAUAACAUUUUGAACCGCAUGGUUCGAAAUUGAAAGGCGGCUUCGGCUGUCACUUAUGGAUGGACCCGCGUCGCAUUAGCUAGUUGGUGAGGUAACGGCUCACCAAGGCAACGAUGCGUAGCCGACCUGAGAGGGUGACCGGCCAACCUGGGACUGAGACACGGCCCAGACUCCUACGGGAGGCAGCAUUAGGGAAUCUUCCGCCAUGGACGAAAGUCUGACGGAGCAACGCCGCGUGAGUGAUGAAGGCUUUCGGGUCGUAAAACUCUGUUGUUAGGGAAGAACAAGUGCUAGUUGAAUAAGCUGGCACCUUGACGGUACCUAACCAGAAAGCCACGGCUAACUACGUGCCAGCAGCCGCCGUAA